GUGCUAAGAAGUUCCGGCGGAAACCUUACCCCCUACGUGCACCUUUGCCAGUCGUCUGCAACUGUCGAUGUCACCACCAUCGUCAAUCCAAACCAGUCAGAGCCACGCUACGGGUACCAGUUGCCUCACUCCGCCGUGACCGCCUCGCCGCACAACCACCGGGAUCCCCGCCACACCUAGUUCGAAGCUUGUGAUUAGCGUCUCCGACUCACGAACUACGACCAUCUCUAUUCAUUGUCUGCUAUAAUCACACGCCGUCGCACCCCCGCCGUCUGCCGCCAUUGGUUUAGUCGCCUGAGAUCUCCGAUUCACGAACAGCCACCACACCCCUCACGUUCGAUCGAUCGCGACCGUUAUAGUAGCUUCUUUCUCGUCUCUCUGUGACGCAGCCACCAUCGUCGCCACUUGAAACCGAUCCGACUCACCGAAGUCCUGCACAAUCUUUGAUUCAGUUCCGUCGAUACCGAUCCUAGUCUGAUACGCGUCAAAGAAGAAAUAUGGGAUGCUGGAAGAGGAUAUCGCUAACAUCUUGGGUGAUAUCCUGAGAUUCAUUAAUUAACCACGUGCAGAUUAAAGGCUGAGACUUACUAACGGUCAAGAGGACUUCUUCUCCUCAGGACUCGGACGAGUUUGUUGAAGAAGAGACGUUGAGCCCGAAAGACCAGGUCUACAACGUUCGAUGAAGGAAUAUUCGGUGGAUCCCGCAAGUUUAGGAUAGUUAGUUAAUUUAUCUAUACUAUAAAUAGAUGUGGCGGAUCAGUUUAAGGCACACAAUUUUUUCACUAACACUCUCGUACACUCUUGCUCUCUAGAUUACUGCAGUCACCACACUUGUAUCCAACUCACGUUGUAACACUUAGU
rnacentral:lncRNA from 1 species